rnacentral:rRNA from 1 species
AACGAACGCUGGCGGCAGGCUUAACACAUGCAAGUCGAGCGCCCCGCAAGGGGAGCGGCAGACGGGUGAGUAACGCGUGGGAAUCUACCCAUCUCUACGGAAUAACGCAUGGAAACGUGUGCUAAUACCGUAUACGUCCUUCGGGAGAAAGAUUUAUCGGAGAUGGAUGAGCCCGCGUUGGAUUAGCUAGUUGGUGGGGUAAAGGCCUACCAAGGCGACGAUCCAUAGCUGGUCUUAGAGGAUGAUCAGCCACACUGGGACUGAGACACGGCCCAGACUCUUCCGGGAGGCAGCAGGGGGGAAUAUUGGACAAUGGGCGCAAGCCUGAUCCAGCCAUGCCGCGUGAGUGAUGAAGGCCCUAGGGUUGUAAAGCUCUUUCACCGGUGAAGAUAAUGACGGUAACCGGAGAAGAAGCCCCGGCUAACUUCGUGCCAGCCGCCGCCGUAAUAC